CAUGUCAUAUAUCCCAAUCACUCUGAUUUUUUUUUGCCACCGUCCCCGUGAAGAUC
rnacentral:sRNA from 1 species